rnacentral:rRNA from 1 species
UGGGGAAUAUUGGGCAAUGGGGGAAACCCUGACCCAGCGACGCCGCGUGGAGGAAGAAGUCCCUCGGGAUGUAAACUCCUGUUGUGUGGGAAGAAGCGAGUGACGGUACCACACGAGGAAGCCCCGGCUAACUACGUGCCAGCAGCCGCGGUAAUACGUAGGGGGCGAGCGUUGUCCGGAAUGACUGGGCGUAAAGGGCGCGUAGACGGCUGUCUAAGUCUGGAGUGAAAGUCCUGCUUUCAAGGUGGGAAUUGCUUUGGAGACUGGAUGGCUUGAGUGCGGAAGAGGUAAGUGGAAUUCCCAGUGUAGCGGUGAAAUGCGUAGAGAUUGGGAGGAACACCAGUGGCGAAGGCGACUUACUGGGCCGUAACUGACGUUGAUGCGCGAAAGCGUGGGGAGCGAACAGGAUUAGAUACCCUGGUAGUCCACGCGGUAAACGAUGAGUGCUAGGUGUAGCGGGUAUCGACCCCUGCUGUGCCGGAGUUAACACAAUAAGCACUCCGCCUGGGGAGUACGGCCGCAAGGUUG